rfam:Desulfitibacter sp. BRH_c19 BRHa_1004651, whole genome shotgun sequence.
UAGAUAGGUCAUGGAGAUACUUUUGGAAUGGCUUUUCUUCAUGAGUUGGCCACAGGAAUGGGUGGAGUUCGUACUGCCGGAGAUCUGGUAGCACGAGUUA